CAUGUGGACAAUGGCUGCCGAGCAAUGAGACCCAAACUGCCCAAGCCCCGCCCCCCUGCUCUGAUGGACGCUGCCCGUGGCAGGUGUCGCUGUUGGACAACAAGGGGGUGGAGCUAUGUCAGGGCGUGGUCCUAGGGGGCGUGGCCAUCCUGACCUCCGCGAGCUGUUACACAGGAAGAGCCACAAGCCUGCAUGUUGACCAGGGGGGGCGGGCGGUCCCCGUCCUCAGCGCCUUCCUGCACCGCGGCUUCCAGGCGGGUCUCCAUGACAACGACCUGGUGGUCCUCCACCUGGCCACGCCCCCUGCUCUUUGGCCCCUCCCUCUUCCCGCUCUGCUUGCCCACCAAGGACUUCAGUGAGAACGUCCUGAUGCAUGCUGGGAGCCCCGGCCUGACGUGGCUGGGGUCGGAGGUCGUGACCUACGUGACCCUGGAUGCCUGCCGCCGCCUCCUCAACACCUCUCAGCCAAUCAGCAACAAGAUGUUCUGCAUGGCCGCCCCCCCCCGCCCGGCCCGGCCCGCAGG